GACUACUGGGGUAUCUAAUCCUGUUUGCUCCCCACGCUUUCGUGCAUGAGCGUCAGUAUCGGCCCAGGGGGCUGCCUUCGCCAUCGGUGUUCCUCCACAUCUCUACGCAUUUCACUGCUACACGUGGAAUUCCACCCCCCUCUGCCGUACUCUAGUCUUCCAGUCAUAAGCGCAGUUCCCAGGUUGAGCCCGGGGAUUUCACGCCUAUCUUAAAAAACCGCCUGCGCACGCUUUACGCCCAGUAAUUCCGAUUAACGCUCGCACCCUACGUAUUACCGCGGCUGCUGGCACGUAGUUAGCCGGUGCUUCUUAUUCCGGUACCGUCAUCCAGAGCAGAUAUUAGCCACCCCGAUUUCUUCCCGGCCGAAAGAGCUUUACAACCCGAAGGCCUUCUUCACUCACGCGGCAUGGCUGGAUCAGGCUUGCGCCCAUUGUCCAAAAUUCCCCACUGCAGCCGCCCGUAGG
rnacentral:rRNA from 1 species